rnacentral:rRNA from 1 species
GAUGAACGCUGGCGGCGUGCCUAAUACAUGCAAGUCGAGCGAACAGACGAGGAGCUUGCUCCUCUGACGUUAGCGGCGGACGGGUGAGUAACACGUGGAUAACCUACCUAUAAUACUGGGAUAACUUCGGGAAACCGGAUCUAAUACCGGAUAAUAUAUUGAACCGCAUGGUUCAAUAGUGAAAGACGGUUUUGCUGUCACUUAUAGAUGGAUCCGCGCCGCAUUAGCUAGUUGGUAAGGUAACGGCUUACCAAGGCAACGAUGCGUAGCCGACCUGAGAGGGUGAUCGGCCACACUGGAACUGAGACACGGUCCAGACUCCUACGGGAGGCAGCAGUCGGGAAUCUUCCGCAAUGGGCGAAAGCCUGACGGAGCAACGCCGCGUGAGUGAUGAAGGUCUUCGGAUCGUAAAACUCUGUUAUUAGGGAAGAACAAAUGUGUACGUAACUAUGCACGUCUUGACGGUACCUAAUCAGAAAGCCACGGCUAACUACGUG